AGUGAACGCUGGCGGUAGGCCUAACACAUGCAAGUCGAACGGCAGCACAGUAAGAGCUUGCUCUUACGGGUGGCGAGUGGCGGACGGGUGAGGAAUACAUCGGACUCUACUUUUUCGUGGGGGAUAACGUAGGGAAACUUACGCUAAUACCGCAUACGACCUACGGGUGAAAGCAGGGGAUCUUCGGACCUUUCGCGAUUGAAUGAGCCGAUGUCGGAUUAGCUAGUUGGCGGGGUAAAGGCCCACCAAGGCGACGAUCCGUAGCUGGUCUGAGAGGAUGAUCAGCCACACUAGAACUGAGACACGGUCCAGACUCCUACGGGAGGCAGCAGUGGGGAAUAGUGGACAAAGGGCGCAAGCCUGAUCCAGCCAUACCGCGUGGGUGAAGAAGGCCUUCGGGUUGUAAAGCCCUUUUGUUGGGAAAGAAAAGCAGCAGGUUAAUACCCCGCUGUGCUGACGGUACCCAAAGAAUAAGCACCGGCUAACUUCGUG
rnacentral:rRNA from 1 species